rnacentral:rRNA from 1 species
GAUGAACGCUGGCGGCGUGCCUAAUACAUGCAAGUCGAGCGAACAGACGAGGAGCUUGCUCCUCUGACGUUAGCGGCGGACGGGUGAGUAACACGUGGAUAACCUACCUAUAAGACUGGGAUAACUUCGGGAAACCGGAGCUAAUACCGGAUAAUAUAUUGAACCGCAUGGUUCAAUAGUGAAAGACGGUUUUGCUGUCACUUAUAGAUGGAUCCGCGCCGCAUUAGCUAGUUGGUAAGGUAACGGCUUACCAAGGCAACGAUGCGUAGCCGACCUGAGAGGGUGAUCGGCCACACUGGAACUGAGACACGGUCCAGACUCCUACGGGAGGCAGCAGUAGGGAAUCUUCCGCAAUGGGCGAAAGCCUGACGCAGCAACGCCGCGUGAGUGAUGAAGGUCUUCGGAUCGUAAAACUCUUUUAUUAGGGAAGAACAAAUGUGUAAGUAACUAUGCACGUCUUGACGGUACCUAAUCAGAAAGCCACGGCUAACUACGUG